rnacentral:rRNA from 1 species
CGUCGAGCUACUACGGUAGUGAAGUCAUUGAUGCCAUGCUUCCAGGAAAAGCCUCUAAGCUUCAGAUUGUAAGGAAUCGUACCCCAAACCGACACAGGUGGUCGGGUAGAGAAUACCAAGGCGCUUGAGAGAACUCGGGUGAAGGAACUAGGCAAAAUGGUACCGUAACUUCGGGAGAAGGUACGCUCUUGAUGGUGAAGUCCCUUGCGGAUGGAGCUGACGAGAGUCGCAGAUACCAGGUGGCUGCAACUGUUUAUUAAAAACACAGCACUGUGCAAAAUCGUAAGAUGACGUAUACGGUGUGACGCCUGCCCGGUGCCGGAAGGUUAAUUGAUGGGGUUAGCGUAAGCGAAGCUCUUGAUCGAAGCCCCGGUAAACGGCGGCCGUAACUAUAACGGUCCUAAGGUAGCGAAAUUCCUUGUCGGGUAAGUUCCGACCUGCACGAAUGGCGUAAUGAUGGCCACGCUGUCUCCACCCGAGACUCAGUGAAAUUGAAAUCGCUGUGAAGAUGCAGUGUACCCGCGGCUAGACGGAAAGACCCCGUGAACCUUUACUACAGCUUGGCACUGAACAUUGAACCUACAUGUGUAGGAUAGGUGGGAGGCUUUGAAGACGUGACGCCAGUUGCGUUGGAGCCGUCCUUGAAAUACCACCCUUGUAUGUUUGAUGUUCUAACGUUGGCCCCUAAUCGGGGUUGCGGACAGUGCCUGGUGGGUAGUUUGACUGGGGCGGUCUCCUCCCAAAGAGUAACGGAGGAGCACGAAGGUGGGCUAAUCACGGUUGGACAUCGUGAGGUUAGUGCAAUGGCAUAAGCCCGCUUAACUGCGAGAAUGACGGUUCGAGCAGGUGCGAAAGCAGGUCAUAGUGAUCCGGUGGUUCUGAAUGGAAGGGCCAUCGCUCAACGGAUAAAAGGUACUCCGGGGAUAACAGGCUGAUACCGCCCAAGAGUUCAUAUCGACGGCGGUGUUUGGCACCUCGAUGUCGGCUCAUCACAUCCUGGGGCUGAAGUCGGUCCCAAGGGUAUGGCUGUUCGCCAUUUAAAGUGGUACGCGAGCUGGGUUUAGAACGUCGUGAGACAGUUCGGUCCCUAUCUGCCGUGGGCGUUGGAAGAUUGAAGGGGGCUGCUCCUAGUACGAGAGGACCGGAGUGGACG